UACGUAGGGUGCGAGCGUUAAUCGGAAUUACUGGGCGUAAAGCGUGCGCAGGCGGUUCGUGAUGUCUGAUGUGAAAGCCCCGGGCUCAACCUGGGAAUUGCAUUGGAAACUAGCGGGCUGGAGUGUGGCAGAGGGGGGUGGAGUUCCACGUGUAGCAGUGAAAUGCGUAGAGAUGUGGAGGAACACCGAUGGCGAAGGCAGCCCCCUGGGCUAACACUGACGCUCAUGCACGAAAGCGUGGGGAGCAAAC
rnacentral:rRNA from 1 species